UACGUAGGGGGCCAGCGUUGUCCGGAAUCAUUGGGCGUAAAGCGCGCGUAGGCGGCCAGACAAGUCCGGUGUGAAAGUCACAGGCUCAACCUGUGAAUGCCGCUGGAAACUGUCUGGCUAGAGUCCGGAAGGGGCGAGUGGAAUUCCUGGUGUAGCGGUGAAAUGCGCAGAUAUCAGGAAGAACACCCGUGGCGAAAGCGGCUCUCUGGAACGGUACUGACGCUGAGACGCGAAAGCGUGGGGAGCGAACAGG
rnacentral:rRNA from 1 species